GACGAACGCUGGCGGCGUGCUUAAUACAUGCAAGUCGAGCGGUGAACCCGACUGAAAGCCUUCGGGCUUGACGUUGGGGGAUCAGCGGCGGAUGGGUGAGUAACGCGUGGGUACCUGCCCUAAAGUCUGGGAUAACAACUCGAAAGGGUUGCUAAUACCGGAUGUGACCGAGAGGUUAAAGGCAGUGAUGUCGCUUUAGGAUGGGCCCGCGUCCCAUUAGCUAGUUGGUGAGGUAAGGGCUCACCAAGGCUACGAUGGGUAGCCGGCCUGAGAGGGUGGACGGCCACACUGGGACUGAGACACGGCCCAGACUCCUACGGGAGGCAGCAGUAGGGAAUUUUCCGCAAUGGACGGAAGUCUGACGGAGCGACGCCGCGUGGGGGAAGAAGGGCCUUCGGGUCGUAAAGCUCUGUCCUUGGGGAGAAGGCGAAAGCUUGACGGUACCCAAGAAGAAAGCCCGGCUAACUACGUG
rnacentral:rRNA from 1 species